CUUUGGGAGGAGUGUGAUGCCGAGAAGCAUCUGAGCUGUCAGAGCAUGUUCAGCCUGCAGGGACUGCCUCAGGCAUGUCUCCGCUCCGAGGUCCUUGUGGGCCAGUUGCAAGAGAUGGAAAAAGCCCUGGUGAGCUCCGGAUGAAGCGCUGGACCUUCGGCCAUGUGCAUCCUGCUCAAAAUCCUCAUGGGCCGGCUACCAGUACUCAAGAUUCAGGUCUGGAGGUCUGAUUCUGCUCUGGUUCAGGUUCAGUUUGGUUCAGUCGUGGUUUGUGACAGAUUUGACAUCAGACCUUUAAAAUGUGGA